CGCUGGAGCUACCCCAGAUAAUCCUAGGGCUCCUUCUGCCUUGUGGCUGACCCUAGUGUUGCUCAUGCAGCCCUGCAUGCCAUGGCAUGCCAUAUGUCUGCUGUUUCUACAGAUCUACCCAAGAUAUUACCUUAUUCUGCAAACAAGGACUUUAAGCACAAAGAAGGAAAUCAUAGUAGAAGUUUCAACUGUCAACUUCUGCUUAGGAUAUCCUUAAUAAAACCUUCAUGUCGAGAUUUGUGAAACAACUGACGAAAUCACUGGCCUGAAGUUGCAAACAAAGUAUUAAUCAAGGCAGCCCCACUGUGGCUUAAUAAUAUCAAUGACAGACACUUCUUGGCAAUCAAGGAUCCUCUGAUGAUCAUCUAAUCAAACAGCACUGAUUCUAUCACACUAUGGCUUUGGUUGAGCUUAACAGAGAAGAGGAUUCAUCCAUAACCAAACAGGUUCAACAGAACCUUGAAAAUCAAAGGAAAGUGCAAAAGAAAGUGGUUCUAACUUUGAAUUGUGGCAUCAAGGAACAGUAAAUAAAAUAAAUUGAAUAACAACUUCUGCAGAGCUGAGAAGUCUCAAAGUUUCCUUCAUCUAAGAAUAUGUUAAAAUGACAUUGAUGGGGUCCAGCAUAUUGGAGCCUGAAAUCUGACUUCUUCACGUGAAGGUUCUUCAUUGAUGUCUGCAGGACACUUGAAAAAUAGUCCCACCUUUUCAGUGGCUGCCAGGGCCCUCCAUGGGACUACUCAACCUUUGAAUGCCAUCACUGAUCCUUCUGGUUGGAGUGCAAAGGCUACAUAGAAGCUUGCAGGACAGUUGAGGAGAAGACAUGCUCUCUAACUUGUGUCACUGGGCAUCACAUCAGCUCUAGAAACUGCACUAUUUGAAUAGCAAGUAUCAUAAAACCACUCUUGAAAAUAUCUCCCUAAACUUUUGGUUCUAACUCCUAUAAAGGUCAGGGGGCUUAUG
rnacentral:lncRNA from 10 species